CAUCACUAAAAUACUAGGCACUAUAUUUGCCAGCUUUGUCACCUGUCAGCUUCUUUUCCACUUUGUGAGUUCUUGGUUUUCAGCAAAAGUUUCACCAGAUUUUAAUAGUCUCAGCUUGGAAAAGAAGAUUGAAUGGAACUCAAGGGUGGUAGCCUCAUGCCAAUCGUUAGUGGCUGGAGUUUUUAGCCUGUAUAUUUUCAUUUUUGAUGAGGCUGCUAUAGCUGAUCUGCUUGGAUUUGUUGCUUCUCAUUUUCUAUUGGAGAGCAAUUGGUAGGAUUGCUUACGUAAUUCACCAUUGCACGGUGCUGUAUGCAUUCUGCCUUAUACUGGUCUGAUACUGGAGGACUAGACAAUGAGGAAGUAAGAGUAAGAUAUAUCAUCAAGUUUUUAAGUAACCCUGGGAGGAAUAUGUGCAAACAGCUGGCCUGCCAAUCCAUUUACUUCCUUGGGGGAAAGAGAGAACAAAAGGUGACUAGUGACCCAGUUUAAUCUACUUGUCAACAAGACAUUUGGAGUCAUGCAGAGGCCAUGGCAAGUGUGAAUUUUACGAGAGGCAAAGCGCCUUAAACAUAGACGACAAAAGUGGAAACACCAUAUUGAUGAGAAGUCAGUUGCGAGAAGGAAGGAGUACUGGCAUACUUUGGGAAUUUUCGCCUGAUAGUAGAGCUUUCCACCCUGAUUUUCAGUCAGCGGUAGGUUACUGAUAUCAUUAAUUAUUUUAAAGUUGUGUUGUUUAUUUUUAGUUUAGGCAAAGAUUUUCCCAUGAUCCUAAAGCUACUAUAUAAAAAAUGAACCUACAUUAUUACCACCAUUGUACAAAUGUGGAAGUUGAGGCUUGGAAAGGCUAGAGUAACUUUUUCAGACUCCCUAGCUAGUAAGUGGUGGUGCUAGCCUUUUAACACAGCGGUUUUUGCAGCAUGACAAUGCUUUAUUAUACUUUCUUCCAAGGCAUUUGUUAUGGAUUGAAUUGUAUCCUCCAAAAAUG